AGUUAUACCCAGAUGCCACAGAAACAUAGGAUCUUAGAGGAGAAGUAACUUAGCAUUUCAUGGAUGGUGCUGCAUCUGUAAGCGAGGAUGGACAAAUGUGUCCAGAACAAGCAGUUGUAACUAUUGUGAGGCCCCAUCUGGAACAGAAGGUGAUUCAAUCUCUUCCUUUGAUUGGAAUCUUUCAUACUUUAUUUUUCAGCAUUCUGAGCUAGGAAACAUGUGAAUACUGAAUUUCAACAGCUAUCUCAUUUCACCUGAUAGUACUUUUCUUUGCCUAGGCAAAGGAACAGAACAGUUUAACCUGCAUCACAAACUUCAAAAGAGUUGUAGCUACUCCUGGAAAGAGAGAGAUAGGAGGCUGCCCAUGCUUCAACAUCCUCUGGAUUUUGAGCCAGAAUGAAAACAAGAAGAAAACAACACUUGAAGUUCUGACUUAGUCUGGGCCCACAGUCUCAGAUCCUUUGAGUUACACAGCAGGAAGGAAAGAGUCCCCUAUGGGGUCAUGAACCACAUCGUCUGAUUGAAUAAUUGGUGCUUAUUUCUGGGUCCUCAACUUGGCCAUCUAACAGCUUGCAUGUGCUCCAUUUAUAGU
ensembl:lncRNA CD200R1L-AS1 CD200R1L antisense RNA 1